CAAUAGCGUAUAUUAAAGUUGUUGCGGUAAAAAAGCUCGUAGUUGGAUUUCUACCGAAGAUAGCCGGUCGGGUCUUCGACCUUGUAUCUGGUUUUGUCUUUGGUAUCCUCAUAGGGAACGUUUCUGCGCUUUAUUGCGUGGUGCGGUAUCUAUGACUUUUACUUUGAGGAAAUUAGAGUGUUCACGGAAGGCAAACGCCUUGAAUAUAUUAGCAUGGAAUAAUAACAUAGGAUCUUCGUCCUAUUUUGUUGGUUUCUAGGGCUAAGAUAAUGAUUAAUAGGGAUAAUUGGGGGCAUCUGUAUCAACGCGUCAGAGGUGGAAUUCUUGGAUUGCGUUGCGACAAACUACUGCGAAAGCAUUUGCCAAGGAUGUUUUCAUUGA
rnacentral:rRNA from 1 species